AAACGACGCCUUCCUACAAUUGUAAUCAAGCUAGACUUCCACAAGGCUUUUGACUCCAUGUCUUGGGUCACCCUUGCCGCGAUCUUGCGCGCAAAAGGAUUUCCACCAACCUGGUGCCGUUGGGUUACCUUGGGUCGCUCUUCGUCCACCUCGGCCGUGUUACUUAACGGCAAACCGGGACCUUGGUUUCCAUGUCGGCAAGGCUUGCGGCAAGGGGACACUUUCUCUCCCUAUCUUUUCAUUAUUGUAGCUGAUGUCCUCAAGCGCCUAAUUCUUCAGGCCUCCGCCAACGGCCUUUUCCCCACCCAAUUGCGGACGAUAUUCCUUGCACCGUCCUGCAAUAUGCUGACGACACCCUUAUUGUACUACCCCCAGAUGCAGCGCAACUGCGGACCCUCAAACAAGUCCUGCUUCAGUUCUCCGAGGCCACCGGCCUUACCAUCAACUUUCACAAAAGCACCUUUGCACCUAUUCACGUUGACCCGGAGCUCUCUAACAACCUUACAGCCAUUCUUGGAUGCCCGGUUGCUUCCUUUCCGCAAUCUUACUUAG
rnacentral:rRNA from 1 species